rnacentral:lncRNA from 1 species
UACAGCCCCACAUCUCCCAGUUAUAGCCCAACAUCUCCAAGUUAUAGUCCUACUUCUCCCAGUUAUAGUCCGACCUCUCCGAGUUAUAGCCCCACCUCCCCAGCAUACAGCCCGACCUCCCCAGCAUACAGCCCGACCUCCCCAUCUUAUAGCCCCACAUCACCUUCUUACAGCCCUACCUCACCUUCUUAUAGCCCUACCUCACCUUCUUAUAGCCCAACCUCACCCUCUUACAGUCCAACCUCUCCAUCAUACAGUCCCACAUCACCUGCAUAUAGUCCAACUUCUCCGGGUUACAGCCCCACCUCCCCAAGUUAUAGCCCUACCUCACCGAGCUAUAGUCCCACGUCUCCUAGCUACAAUCCCUCGGCAAGGUACAG